GCACAUGUCUCCACAUGUGUCCACAUUAUUAGUUCAAGAUCUCCAUGUCCAUGACUUGUGAAACAUAGUCAUCAACUAAUACAUGUGCUAGUCUAAUAUUCAUGUGUGUCCUCACAUGAACUCCGACUAGGGACAACUUUAGAAUAACCAUACAAGUAAAGAGUUUCACAUACAAUUCACAUAAUUGCAAAUCAAUUCAAGUACCCUUUAAUGGAUAUUCAAUGAACACAAAAUACAAAUCAUGGAUACAAAUGGAACAUCAUCAUCUCUAUGAUUGCCUCCAGGGCAUACCUCCA
rnacentral:lncRNA from 1 species